CCUCCUUUUACAAGGCAGAAAAAUAUGGGGCCUGGUUUCCUGUGGCGAGUUCCCAGGUAGGUCUUUUGUGCUGCGACCGCCACCAGUUGAGGGGGCUGACACCUGUGAUCCCCCGAGGCUCGGGCCCGGCAUGAUGUCGGGCAGUGGCCCUCCGUGCGGGGCCAUUCAAAGCCCACUGAGCGGGCUCCUUGUGGUAAGAUUUAUGCUAGUUUAUGCUAGAAUAACAAUGAUGCCGUGGUAUUUGUUUGAAAAUGAAAGGAUUAUAUGGUCUUUGUAAAAUGAGGAAUUUGGUUCUGGGGAGGGGCAGUGAGACGGUGAUUUAUUUUUUGUUUAUGUUCCUAUGAAUCCUUUGAUAUGUCAGCUUCUGUCACUAAGUAUUAGGACACUUGUAAUUUCUUGAAUCAACCAAGAUGAAAUACACACAGCCUCAAAUAAUUUAUGUCAAAAUCUCAGCUGUGCAAUCUAAGUGCCAGGGCUUAUUGGGAGAUUAGACGGGAACGGGCUACUUGGUCUUCAAAGACCUGCCCGUGAUCGGAGUUAGAAAGCCACAGUUCUCCCCUUAGCUCAGGUGAGGGGUGUGCCCCCUCUUGGGGUUUUGGUGCAGGGAGAGGCCACGGGAGUCGAGCUGUGGGUCGGGCCUGGGCUCAGGGAAGCCUGGUCCAUUAUUCCCCCAUAUUAGUCAGUGACCAGAACGUCUGAGUCAAUGACGGGGACGCCCACCGCCUCUUUCCUUUGUAGCGCUGUCCUUUAACAACUCGACUUCAAUGUGCGUCCGUGGAGGAUGGGAAAUGAAGCCAACGUUACCAUUAGCUCAAAACACAGAAGCUGUCUGGGACCUGGGGAGGUCUCAGCAGUGCUCAGUAGGGACCUGAGGUGCCUGGGGUGACGUGAGUCGAGGGCGGCAAGGCCACCCUCGUCACCCAUCCUGGGAUGCUCGCAGGGGCCUGGCUGGGUUUGUGUAGUGUUCGCAGGAGUCGCCCUGGGUCAGGGGCUCUGCUCACAGUGGGGACUGCCCCGCCAGUUCCUGUGCAGGACGCCCGUCCUCUGCAUUAGUCACCUGAAGGGCAAUGUAGACAGCAUGGUUGGCUGUUUGGGGCAAUGUCUAUCCCAGAGAUGGACAUUUUCUUUGGAAAAGAAAAUUCAUUACUGAGCCAUCUGGGAAUCAGAAAUACCGGAAAAUGGAUUCUGCAUUUCCCACUAUUAAUUAUGCAUCAGGAGCGUAUGGCUCCGUGAGCUGAGGCAGCAGAUGAAGGCACAGAUCUCAUUUCCCAGCCCCAGGAAGGACGACGCCAUGGCCUCACCGAGGUCCCCCUCAGUUUACGCAUCUCUAAAAUGGAGGAUGCUGAUGUGAUAGAGGAGGGACCAGGCAAGUAGCGAGAAAAGUGGGUGACUUUCCAACUCUGAGAGCCGGGAGCUGGGUUGGGUGUCUUCUCUUCAAGACGACGGUGGAGACUCCUCACUCUUUAGACCCCUCAUCCCCUGUCCUGGAGGGGUCCUUCUCAUCCCACUGGCCUGCUCCUUCCCAGAGCUGGUGUGUCGGCCAUGUGUGUCCGUCAAUCAGAAAGGGGGCAGGAAGUCUGGCCAGAGAGAGAAGCAGAGCAGUCUCCUUCGUCUCGCUCUCUGCACACACAUGCACACAGACAUUCACAGAGACACACACACACACAGAGAACGCACACGCAGGACACACGCUCACAGACGUGCACACACAUGCAUUUGCCGGCAAGCACACAACUUUGGAUUUGUCGUGUGUCCUGGACAAGGUGCUCCCUGCUCUUCAUCUUUUCCUCGCUGGCCUGACUAUGGACAAAACAAAGCCCCACGUAUCUUUUUUUUUACUUCAAGAACACUGAGAGAGGCUGUAAUUUAUUUCUAAAAAGAGCUUCUCUAAAAAGCAAAGAAAUAAAAUUCAAAGGAGAAUUCAAAAUGCAGAUACCUGCUCUCAUUAUGCCUGUGGACUGCUGGGUACCAAGGACAGAAGUCCUAGACCAUGCCAGCGUGAAGCCACCUCAGUAAGCUGGCCUUGGUAUCUGGCUUCUCGUCCUUGGGAGAAUAUACUUUUUAGUCUCUCCAGGGUGAGAUCAUCACAGCACAUUUUUAAAUCCCUGAGCGGCUGCACUUGAUCUUGACAAAGCUGCUGGGCCGCUGGCUGCUCCCUAAGCACUGGUCCCCGGGGAGAGAAGCCUUUUCCUCGACUCACCCAUCAGGCGUCUGCCCCGCCUGCUCGGGCCGCUCGGCCUGGCUGCCAUCCUGAGGGUAUUCAGAGCUUCAGACCUCUGCAGGGCUUCUGGUUACCCGGUGCCUAUUUGCCCUUAAAAAUUUAUCCAGAAUUUAUUGAGCAAUUCCAGUUUAGAAUUAGCUCUGUAAGGAUGGCGUUUUCCGUCUCCUCCUGUUGAAAACCGCCCAAAAGCAGCAAGAAGAAUAAGAAGGAAAAACGCGAAUGUGUCCUUACAGCAGAACCAGGAGACAUCUGUAGGCCUGAAACACAAUCUGUGAGGGAAGACUGCCAAGGAGAGGGAAGGUCAGGGAGGCCCAGCAGGACGGGGAGGGCCCACAGCUGCAGACCUCGGAAAGCAGUCAGAGCUGUCCUCCCCAGAGAAGCGACCCCUCCCCGGGGAACACCAGCAACCAUUUGUUUGGAAAGAAAGAAGAAAACGAUUGGGCCAAGUGCAGGUGUUCCUGGGCACAGUUUGCCAUAAAGUCUCAGGGAGCAGAGAAGGCAGGGAUAACAGGAAGACCAGCAGUAAGCUGUAGGUCUGAAAAGCAGAAUGUGGGUGAGGCUGGGAGAAGAAGGACUGCCACAGGGAGCGGCCUGCAGCACUGCGGGAUGGGCCAGGAGGGCCUAAUGAGCUAACUCACGCACAACCCUGGACACAGAGUUCCCACGUGCUUAGGAUAUGCCUCGGAUUUCACAUGUGCAGCUUCAUCAAAUGACAUAGGAAGAAAUAUCCUUAUUCCACAAUAAAUCAUAAUUUAAAAGGUCUGCUUUAAAAUACCCCAAAGAAAAUAUAUUAAAUUUACAGGAUGGACAGAUGGCAGGUGAAAGCUCUUAUUUGAAAAACAGGGCCAAGAGGUAGACAACAGUCAUGACCAAACAGUCCAUGGUGGUGUUUUAAAACCAAGAAAACAGUUCACCUCCAUAAAACAAGAGGACAAAGGCGAGAUAUAAGAGCUCAUGCAGAAACGACUAGUGAUAGGUGGAAUCGACUCCUGAGUACAGCUGAGUACAAGAGUUGAAACUAUCGCAGGCAGGAAGGUCAAGUUGGGGUCUCACAAAGAGGAAACCUCAUGAAAACACCACAGGACACAGAGCAUAGGAUCAAGAAAGAAAUAGGCAGAAAGAACCCUGAACGGAAACUUGGAAAGGAUAGGAAAAAAGAUCCCUCAUACACAUGAAGAAGAAGAUCAAGUGAUUAAGUAAAUUUAAAAAUAUAUAAUUCAGAAAAUACUCCUUAUCAGAAAGAGCUGAUAUUCCAAGAAAACGGACAGACGCUGAGCCAUCUGCAACGUGGCUGCAAGGGUGGCGCAGCUCAGGGUGAAGGAGCGGGCAGAGGCGUUGGCAGCAAGAAAGGGCACGGUCCUGCCCAGCCCAGCUUUCCCAGGGCGGCAUGCGGGGCCUCAGCCAGGGAAGCCCUCUGGAUACUGGAGAAGUGAGACCAUAAGGAAAAAGAUGCUGUGAGGCUGUCCACUUUAUGUGACUGUGAGUGCUGGGGUACUGCCCACUGAAGGGUCUGCUGUAUUUCCCUGGAAUCUGGCUGUCACGGCCAUGUUUACACCAGCGCCGGGCAGAGGUGACCACAGGCAUGCGCUCUGCCUAGGACACUCACUGCUGGACCUGGCUCACACUUGGGCGUCUUACCACCUGAAGGCCACUAUCUGGAGGAGUCGCACACAGGUGCUCUUGGUCAGCAGUUUUGUGCCCAGCAGCAGAGCACAGGUGUGAAGGUGAGCCGAGGGGUGAAAGGUCACAGGUGCUCCGUGACAGCCACACGCUCAGAGCACGUAGUUCUCAUGGGUCAUUCUAAAAGACACUAACAGAGGCCAGCCAGUCAGAGAGGCCCACCACCAGGACAGGAGAGCUGAUUGCGAGCCCUUGGAGGCAGAGCAGCGUGGGCUUCACAGCUGCAGAGCUCCGUGUGAGGGCCACAGGGCAGACUUCCAGGGGCAAGACGGCCACGGGGGCCUGGGAGGAGAAUAGGGACACACGGUCAGCGGGGCGUGAGCCCAGGAUGUCCAAAGACACUCGUGUGCAGGGGUCAGAAUAAACCACUCAAAGAAAAUGGACCAGGCAUCACAUGCCCAGGCGCAUCCCAGGGUUCAAUGACCAAAUACGAAAAUCCUGACAGACCAAUGGGAGGACAAUGAAGGGCACAGGAUCCAGGACAGUGGCCCUGAGCUGGCACACAAGCCCCUUUCUGCCGCCAGGCUCAGCUUACAGGAUCCUUGGGUCUAAUUCUUUACCCCCAAGACAGUCCAGGCACAUUUCACAGAUAGGACCCUGAGCCCAGAGAAAUCAAGUGGACCCUGGCCAUGAGGAUGGGAUGAGCCCUGGCCAGUGAGGAUGGGAUGGACGCUGACCAGUGGGACAGGAUGGACGCUGGCCAGUGAGGAAGGGAUGGAUGCUGACCAGUGAGGACGAGAUGGACGCUGACCAGUGAGGAUAGGAUGGAUGCUGACAAGUGGGAUGGGAUGGAUGCUGACCAGUGAGCCAGGAUGGAUGCUGACCAGUGGGAUGGGAUGGAUGCUGACCAGUGGGAUGGGAUGGACGCUGACCAGUGAGACAGGAUGGACGCUGACCAGUGGGAUGGGAUGGAUGCUGACCAGUGAGGACGAGAUGGACGCUGACCAGUGAGGAUAGGAUGGAUGCUGACAAGUGGGAUGGGAUGGAUGCUGACCAGUGAGGAUGAGAUGGAUGCUGACCAGUGAGACAGGAUGGACGCUGACCAGUGGGAUGGGAUGGAUGCUGACCAGUGAGCCAGGAUGGAUGCUGACCAGUGGGAUGGGAUGGAUGCUGACCAGUGGGAUGGGAUGGAUGCUGACCAGUGAGGAUGAGAUGGAUGCUGACCAGUGAGACAGGAUGGACGCUGACCAGUGGGAUGGAAUGGGCCCAGGGUGUGUUUCUUCCACUCCUCACAACCCUGUCCUGUCUUCAGGAGCCUGUGGAGGAAGAUCUGGUCUCCAUGCCUGGUUCCCAGAGCUCAGUAGACCUGAGUGGCCCGUGCUACGUCAGACCACAUGGGUGCUGGACACUGCCUGCUUGGCAGUAAGAGCUAUAGGUGGCCGUGGUCCAUAAGAGCAGAGUUUCAAGACUCUGGCACAACUUUACAAUUAUGAAAUUCACCGUUAGAACAAAAUUAAAGACAUUUAACAUCAGGAGAAGAAACCCACUAACGCAAAGAAGGCAAGACCAUCUACAAUAGAUAAAAGAGGGCUGGGGAUGUGGCUCAAGUGGUAGUGCGCUCACCUGGCGUGCGUGUGGCCCGGGUUCGAUCCUCAGCACCACAUACAAACAAAGAUGUUGUGUCCGCCAAAAACUGAAAAAUAAAUAUU
rnacentral:lncRNA from 1 species